GAUGAACGCUAGCGGCAGGCCUAACACAUGCAAGUCGAGGGGCAGCACAGAAACAGCAAUGUUUUGGUGGCGACCGGCGGACGGGUGCGUAACGCGUAUGCAACCUACCUUUAACAGGGGGAUAACGGAGAGAAAUUUCCACUAAUACCCCAUAACAUCAAUCAAGGCAUCUUGAUUGGUUGAAAACUCCGGUGGUUAAAGAUGGGCAUGCGUUGUAUUAGGUAGUUGGUGAGGUAAUGGCUCACCAAGCCUACGAUACAUAGGGGGACUGAGAGGUUAGCCCCCCACACUGGUACUGAGACACGGACCAGACUCCUACGGGAGGCAGCAGUGAGGAAUAUUGGUCAAUGGGGGCAACCCUAAACCAGCCAUGCCGCGUGCAGGAAGACGGCUCUAUGAGUUGUAAACUGCAUUUAAACAGAGAUAAAGCAAAGUAUGUAUACUGUGUUGAAGGUACUGUAAGAAUAAGGAUCGGCUAACUCCGUGCCAGCCGCCGCCGUAA
rnacentral:rRNA from 1 species